UGUUACUAAGGACCCUGUUAAUACCCAGUGCACGCUGGGCUUGUCCAGGCAAUGCUCACCUCCGUGACUCCUCUGUGUUUAACAGCAGGUCAGCUAACUUCAUAAUCCUGUCCUGGGUUUUUCUUCCCUGUUUCCAUCUCCAAGAAGAUUAGAGUCCUAUAAUAUCUUCCUUCUCUCUAUUGACUACAGGGCUGUGUCUAAAUGUGAUUAGAUUUACUCCACGCCGAUGCUUCUUGUUUCUGCAGUCACAAACAGCUAAAGGAAGAUCCCAGAGAUGCUCAACAAUUUUGCCUUUUCUAUUUUGCCUUUUUAUUUCUCUCUGAAGCCCAAGCUGCAGAAAUGGCUACAGAAAUACACCCACAGUUUCUGUUUUCUCUCUCAACUUGCAAUGGGACAGACGAUUAUUGACCUUUUUGGAUCAGAUAAUUAUGGAAGCGUAAGGGGAGCACCGAGGGCUAUAUACUCCCGCUUCUCCCUUUUCAUUGUGACUUCACCAAUCCAGAUUGCAGACCUUUGUUUUGGCAACUAAAGCUCCUCUGUUCAACUAAGAGCUACUGAAACCUGUGCCCACUGUAGACCCCUGCUCCGCAACAAGAGAGGCCACGGCAGUGAGAAGCCCUCGCAUUUCAACUAGAGUAGCUCCCGCUCACCACCACUCGUAGCCCCUGCUUGCUGCAGCCAGAGAAAGCCCAUGCAGCUAUGAAGACCCAGCACAGCCAAAAAGAAUAUACAUGUUUUAAAAAUGUCCCAUGCCAAUCUGAAAAAAAAAAACUAUACAGGUAAAUUACAGUUAGGGAGUUUUGGCCACAUCCCUGGCUCUCAUCUCCUUAAGGUCCACCACCAUUAACCUUGUAUUAUUGAAGUGUUUAAUAAGUUUUCCAAAGAUUUUCAUUGUAGGCACUCUUAAUACAACUGAUGCAAAUGUUGUAAGUGUGACCUUAAGAAUUUUCUCGAAGAAGACUGAUCACAGAAGGCAAUAUACCUGGUCUCCAUUUCUCAUGCCUUCAUUUUCCAUCAAGUUGAGCUUGAGCAGGUCAAGUUUCUUUCCUGACCUUUGUAUCCUCCUCUGGAAAAGAUAAUGUCAGAUGAAACUCUCCUGAAGACCCUCCAAACCCUAAUCACGUGACUACAGCAUCUGGUGGGUGACAUUCACUAUCAACAGCCAGUGGAACAAGUCUUUUAUCCUCCUAAGGAAAAGCAAACUAAAGAGAGUUUGUAAAACGACAGGCACAGCAUAAGCUCUGUGGGCUGUAAUCACAGGGGCAAAGGGUGUCAGGUAAGUAAUAGGAGACAUUUGUGAUGUAGAAGGGAAAAACAGCCAUCCAGCCACAGCGGUCACUCACCCACCCAGGCAAAGACCUCAGAACAAUCAUGUCCCUAGACAGCUCUGCUUCCAUCUCUUCUUCCAUCUCUGUUUUUAUUGCAAUUAAGACUUUGAAGUCUUCAUUAUAUUUUAUUUUAGUUGUUUUAUUUUGGGCUGUGAGAUUAUUGCAUCAGAGAUGAAUAAUUCUGUAUGCUCAGAGCAAAAC
ensembl:lncRNA